rnacentral:rRNA from 1 species
AACCUUUACAAUGCACGCAAGUGCGAUAAGGGGACCCCGAGUGUUGGUGCCUAGCAUCAACUGUCUAACUGCCUAAAAAACAGUUAUUAGCAAGAGCCGGGUAAGACCGGUGCCAGCCGCCGCGGUAACACCGGCAGCCCAAGUGGUAGUCAUGCUUACUGGGUCUAAAGCGUCCGUAGCCGGCCGGGUAAGUUCCUUGGGAAAUUUGAUCGCUUAACGAUCAAGCUACCUGGGAAUACUACUUGGCUUGGGACCGGGAGAAGUCAGAGGUACUUCAAGGGUAGGGGUGAAA